rnacentral:rRNA from 1 species
GACUCUUAGUGGUUGAUCACUCAUCUCAUGCAUCGAAGAACGCAGCUAGCUGUGAGAAUUAAUGUGAAUUGCAGGACACAUUGAUAAUCGACACUUUGAACGCACUUGUGGCCCUGGGUUCCUCCUGUGUCUACACCUGUCUGAGUGUUG